rnacentral:lncRNA from 1 species
CGCUUGCGGAACUCUAUCGAGACGGGGAAAACCGGAACAAGCAUCAACACAUGAUAUUCACCACACAAUGCACAACCCAUAUGAUGCAUGGACAGGCUGAAUACAUGCAAGACAGGGCAUGACAAUUCACGUCAAACAAACACUACACAUUAAGUGAAGUUCAAUAUGCAGCGAGUUGCACAUUGACGAAACUCCACAUACGAGUUAUUUAGUUCUCUCCCGAUUAGAUACACGGCAAUAUUAAAUGUUGUUAAACAUGGCAUGAGGGUGAAGCACAAAUUAAUCUACCUAGCUAGUCAUUUUAAAUGAGGUCGGAAGCAUCAUAUAGCAUUUCCGAUAUGACCCCGCGCAUUAAAUUCUAAUCCUGUCCGGAUUUUGUCCUAAUCAUAUUUUAUGUUUGUUAAACGGGGAAACAAAGUGGAUCACGUGAUUCUACUCGUCGUUCUGGUCUAUUUAUAUAUAUGGCACAUCUCCUACGGAGCUAUGGACAAAUAGUUAUGACCUAAACAGUUUUCAACAUAUCGACACGCAAACCGAUGCAAACAUCACACUAAACAGUUCUAACUAUUCAUGAGAGUUGAAAAAUAUUACUCUAUGCAAAAUUCUAGUCAAAAACCAUAUAUAACUCACUCCGAUCCGAGGCACGGUUUAGAAACUACGCUCUUUUGAAAAAUCAAUGCAUUUCUUCUGAAAUUAAAUAAAAUCGCAGGAGGGAAAAAAUGAAUAUAGGCCAAAUUGCAACAUCUUGCAGUGCCAUAAGAGGAUUCAGCCCAAGAGGUUGUGCACACAGAAGGCAAAAUAAAAUAAAAUACCAAGAACAGAAAGAACAGAGGCUUCCCUGGAUUUGAUCCCAGUACCUCUUUGGUGUAGAGGAAGGCACAAACCAACCGAGCUGCAAAUCAGUUGUGACAAGGCAUGGGUUUUUAGCCUAUAUGAAAGUGCAUAAGGAACCAACCUGGAGUAAAAGAAAUACAAAGAAAAACUGGUAUAAGGGUGAAUGGGAUUCGAACCCCAGACACCCUGGUGUUGGCGCUGCUAGGUUGACCAGUCAAGCUGGCCAUAGUUGUGCUAUAAGCAUCUGAAAUACCGGAGAAGAAAUAGCAACAUGUGCACGUCGAUGGGGCAACAAAAAUUAAAUAAGAGCUCGCUGGGAUUUGAUCCCGAGUCUCCUGGGUAGAAGGAGAGAUCGCUAGCCAUUGCAGUAACUAUGUGCUCGUGUAGGAAUUCAGAUGCAAUACUACAUAACAUCAGCAUGGCGGAACAGAUCUUGGAAAGAACUGAAAUUCAGUUACGUAGGGACUUGCUCACAUCAGGGGACGGGGAGGCCAUGGCGGUCUGGGCAGGGGUCUCGAGCACGGAUUGCGGCGGGGAACGACAGGGAAGGCUCGAGCAGCGGCGGCUCUUGCCGGAUCUGGCCGGGGUGGCUCCAUUCCCGACGGAUCUGAUGCGAUCCGGCGGAGCUUGGCCUCCAUCGCUUCCUGUUCGAAUGAGACAGAGAGAGAUGAGCGAAGGGGGCGUGGAAGAAAGGGAAGAACGGGGAGAGCAGGGCAACGACGAGGUUACCGGCGGCGCUAGGAGGUGAGGAAUGGGCGUUGGGGUCGGAUCCGAGGGCGGCUUGGAGGUCCUUCGGCGCCUCCAUGGUUGCUCCUAAUUGCAAGGGGACAUAGAGGGAGAGAUUAGAAAGAGGAGGAGAAACACAAGAGACACUGAGAAGAAGGGCUGCAACGAGGUCGACCUGGCCGGGGACAUGAACCCGCUGGUCACGGGGUUGCCGCUCCGGCGUCUCGCCGACCAUCCAGAUGAGAGGAUAGUGCUCUGAGGUCUUGGUGUGAGCAGGGAGGCAGCAUAGGAGUUGCGGUUGUUGGCUGCUGCGGGUUGUUGGCAGGUGGAGGACGGCCUCGCUAGCUAGACGAGGAAGAUCCCAAGGGGGUGGCGGCGCGGACGAGACAAAUGUCCUAAUUUUCAGGGUUUGGUGUAAUUGAACUAGGUAGUCUGUAUAUAACUAUUGGGUUAGGUAUAGGGGCAUCUGGACCUUCCGAUUUAGAUCGGAUGGUCGAGAUAAUUAGGUUAGGGAGAGCAAUGGACAAACCGAUGACGAUUUGAAGUAAAAUGGGGUUGAUCCGGAUCAAACGGUCACGACCGCAGGGUUCGGGUUCCGGAGGUUUUCGGACUGGGCUGCGCGUAGGGCUGACGCACUGUGCAGAGGGGCUAGGCGCAGAUGAGAAGGAAAACGAGCGACCCAGCAACGUAUUUAAAAACAUCGGCAUAUGUCCGACGGUAGACCGAAUACGGUGUCGCUACGGUCGACCGUUCGGGUACUAGACGGACUCCGAUUGCGACGAAACUCGACAGGCGGCCUAGCUAUAACUAAUCACGACCGCAUGUCAAGUUUCACCUCGAUCAGAGAAAGUUUCAACACACUUUUAAAACAGGGUUUUGACGAUGUCGCGGGCGCGUGCGUGUGCGAUCGGGUUCAAAACGGACAACGACGUGAACCGGCAACUAACAACGGAUGCAAGUUUGAAAACUGGCGGCAACGGAGAUGCCGAUGCAAUGCUGAUGAUGCGCAUGAUGUGAUGAUGAUGCAACAAAAGAAAAUAGACACCCGACGAAAAUGGAAUAGAAGGGGAAUCUUCUGGAACGUCGGCAUCGGGCUGUCACAACUCUCCUACACUACAGGAGGAUCUCGCCCCGAGAUCCAAGAAUGAAAGGGGGAGAGGAUGAGAAAGAACAAGAGGUAAAAACUUGGUCGCUUCUUUGACAAACGAGUGAAACCAAUGAUCCUUGAAAGUUGCAAAGAGAUGAGGAUUGAUAUGAGAAAGAAGCAAGAAUUCACGGAAAAUUUCGGCAGAACUUCGGUAGGAAAACGGGACAAAAAAUUCUAUAAGAUGGGAGAAAUAGACAAUAUUCAUAACAAACAACUAAAUAGAACAAGGGAACACCAUUAUCUUGAUAGAACAACAUGAUUGACCCAAAAGAGCAACAACACAAUGCCUCCGGAACAAUAGAAUAGGAACUAGCUCAUACGGAAGAAGAGAAUGAAGAAAAUAAUAACAACUAACAUCACAAUAGAAUAGAAGAGCCUCCGGACAGAAGAAUUGGCGUAGUAGUUGGAAAGCCAACAACGAAGAACAAGAUAGUAGUGGGCUUAUGAAAAUGAUCUCAACAUAUAUGAGGUGACAACAAACCACUAAAAGAAACAAGGAUAGAUUGGGAGUAACAAGAUAUGAACACUUCUUUCACCAAGAGGAUAUGUUGAGAACUUGGAUCAAUGACAAACACCAUGAUAGCAACAAUCCCUAGGAAAAGCUUUUGGUGGAAUGCAAACCAAGAUAGCUCAAAGAAGAAAUCAUGGGUUGAAAAUAUCUCAUGAUCAUAGAAUUGGUGGGUUUAAUUAUCUCAUUCUUGAAAGGAAACUCUUUGAGGCUCCUACACUAACAAGAAUGUUAUAAUACCACCUCAAAGGAUAAAGGAAGAACAAUGUACUAGAAAUGGAAGAGAAAGAAUACUUGAGGUACUCCAACAAGAAUCUUGAAGAAAACUUUGAGAAAAAUCAUAUCCUUGAAGAACCACCAUGACGAGCCUCCGUAUCAAAAGGAUGAUGCAAAGAUAAACUUGGAACUCCGGAAAAUAAAGAUAAGCACACGAGAAAAGAAUUGAAACCAUGAGCCACUCCGGAAGAAGAAUUCAGAUUAUUAUGAACAAGAAUAAUAAUUAUAUUAUGCUCAUCCUUCAUCAAAUUAAAUUGAUGACAAGCAACGGAUUUAGCAUACAGCUUAUUCCUCUUGAAAGAAUCUUGAAGAGACAAAGAGAUAAGCACCACUUGAGGCAUGAUUGAAGGACGCACCGAUACGAAUUCACAACUGAAUGGGAAUUCCAAGAAUUCAUGGAAACACAUGAGAAUGAAGAGAUCAUGAUCCUCCUAACAAAAAACUUGAAUAAGGCACCGGAAUAAUCGAGAGACGAACGAAGAGGCAACAAUUGAGAAGAUUUGAGGAUGAAAGUUCAAAGCUGAGAACGAAGAAUUUUCUGAAAUGAUGGCCUUCGGAGGAUCGAGAAUAAAAACAACUCAGAAAAGCACUGGAAAGCAAGAAAUAGAUACGCAUGGUUGGAACACUUGAAGAUGAUAACACGAGGCUAAAAUGAUGAAUCUGCAAGAGAAUGACAAGGAUUUGAGAGAAACACUCCUUCGGUCUUCAAAGCAGAGAAUGACGAGAAGAACACCACCAAGAGUUAAUGAGACACUCCGGAAUAAAUAAUAAUGAAAGGUUGAGCCAAAUACGAGAAGUAAUUCAAAUAGAUCUUGAAGAAGGAAUAUGACUGAUGAAAGCAAUACUUACGUCAUAGUUGAAAAGAAUUAAAGACCUCCGGAAGGAUUACAGAGCUAUAUAAGAUCCUGGGGAAAAACCUGUGGGUUAUGGGCCCACUCAAAGAAACCACCAUUAGAAAAGAUUGCUUAGAAGAGAGAUAUUGCACCGGUAGAAAUGAAAACUAGAUGAGGUUAGCACCUCGAAAUAAUUAAGAAUUGAGAACAAGAAUUCUAAGAUAACUUCAACGCUCCGGAUAGAAUAGAGAUAAAUAAAUACCAAGAUAGGCUCAUAAAAUUUUUCGACAUGGGAAAGAAUUACGAGGAUAAAAAGGAUAUGUUGAACACAGACAACUGAAUUAAAUUCACCGGAAAAGAUGACAAAAAUGAAUAAGGAUGAACAAGAAGCUCGUGAGAAUCUUCACAAUGAAUCACCGGNACAGAUGAGAUGAACUCCGGCAUAAAAGAGAGAAUGAUCUUGCAAAAUUGGAUAAGAUUGAGUUCACUUGAAGAGAAGAACACCGGUUGAAUGGAAUUGAUACGAUGACUCCGGUUGAAAAGGAAUUGACAUGAUAAUUGAUAUAGCAAAAGAACUAAUACUCUCAUAAAAAUAUGAGAACACCUCUUAGAAAAGAUCUGAAAUCACCACUUGACAUCGAAGCAACACGAAUUACCAUAAUCAACAAAACAAAGGUAGUGGCUUAUGAAACAAGCCAGAACAAACUUAUGAGAGAGAUUUCGUCCGAUAUUUUCGUGGACAGGAUCGCACGGGCUCGAUUUUAGAGUAGCCAUAAAGUGCAAGGUAGUGCACCCGACAUACGAAGCAUCCCCGAGUUGUAGAAAGCUACAAGGACUCUUUAAGACACAACGUGUACCGCUGUAAGUCGACCGUGAACAAACGAAUCCACUAGAUGUCGAACCCCAACCUAACAUCAUGCAUUUGUUGGAAGAAUGUCCUAUAAGUAACUACUUGAAUUCCCACCUAUGAAUUCCCGAAAUUAUCUGGUCAUGCAAUCUGGUAUACGGAUACAAGGAGUAAUAUCACACAACUCCUAUACUAACCCCACCUGUAUCACAUCUGUGAACACACAACCAGAAUCUCGGACCUUCAUCUACAACAGACCCUUGUGAUCACAACGAUACAAAGUAUGGCAGUUCUCCCAAACAAUCUUCACUAGUACUGGGGACAUCAGGGUUAUCUCGCCACUACUAGUAUUGAAGCAAUUAUGAACAUCCUUCGUUCUGAGAUACUAAGAAAUCUGAAUGAUAACGAUGUGCUCAAGAAUCCCCUGGAGCUCAACUCCCCUGAAACUCAAAGCAGAUAGGAGGCACCAAGACAGAACUCUGUCACAUCGGCAUCAUAUAGAUUACAAAAAUAUCCACGUGACCCUAAAAAAUUUUGAGUGAGAAGAGGAGUACAAUUAAAUUAUUACGUCAAGAUUCCUCACCAGAGCAUAGAAGAGGAGAAAAAAGAAUCCUACUCUCCGAUAUAUAACUAGACUCAAAGCAGUUUUUCACUAGACUCCACUCGGCCAAGUUCGAUCAAUCAAGAGGGCUCCAAGGUCGGUACUGCUCUGAUACCAACUUGUCACGCCCAAGAUGCGACCUAUCCUCAAUUUGGCACGAGGGCCUCGUUAGGGAUAGAAACGCAUCUCGUCGUGUCACAAGAAUGGAUAUCGUUACAAGUACAUGUACUAAAAAGAAGAGAUAUAUCUAUAGAAUUGUCUUACACUAGCCACAAGCUACAUCAGAGUCACAUCAGUACAUUACAUAAACAUCAAGAGUAAGAGCAGGGUCCGACUACGGACAAAAACAAACGGGAAAAAGAAGAACGACGUCCAUCCUUGCUAUCUCUGGCUGCCGGUCUGGAACCCAUCCUAGAUCGAUGAAGAAGAAGAAGAGGAAGCAACUCCAAAUGAACAAUCAACGCGCUCGCGUCAAGUAACCUUUUCCUGUACCUGCAACUGGUGUUUUAGUAAUCUGUGAGCCACAGGGGACUCAGCAAUCUCAUUUCCAAAGGUAUCAAGACUAGCAAAGCUUAAUGGGUGAGGCAUGGUUAAGUGGUGAGGUUGCAGCAGCGGCUAAGCAUAUAUAUAUAUGGUGGCUAAACUUACGAGUACAAGAAAUAAGAGGGGGAAGAUCUACGCAUAGCGGACGAUCUAAUGAUGAUCAAAAGAAUGAUCCUGAACACCUACCUACGUCAGACAUAACCCCAUCGUGUCCUCGAUCGGCGAAACAACUCAUGAAAGAGACAGUCACGGUUACACACACAGUUGGCAUAUUUUAUGUAAGUUAACUUCAAGUUAUCUAGAACCAGUGUUAAACAAAGUUUCCACAUUGACACAUAACCGCGGGCACGGCUUUCCGAAAAGAUUUAACCCUGCAGGGGUGCUCCAACUAGUCCAUCACAAAUUACCACAAGCCGCAUAGAAAUCCUCAAUCACGAAGCUCGCGAUCUCGUCGGAUUCCCUAGUGGGAAACCUCAACUCUGAGAUUACCCAAAGCAUCACCGGAAUCCCGAUGCACAAGAUAUCUCGUCAAAGGUAAAACUAAUCCAACAAGGCCACCCGGUGUGUCAACGAACCCGAUAGGAGCCGCGUAUCUCGUUCUCAGAACCCACCUUCUAUGCAUAGUGGACGGUAGCCAAACCUCGAGUUGCCCCGAGGUGGCACCGUCGACUGCUAGGUGGGUGGACCAACACUCAUGCGGAGCACUGGCCCGGGGCGUUGAUUAAAUUAUCCUCGGGGUCCGGAAAGUCCCUAUGCANNNNNNNNNNNNNNNNNNNNNNNNNNNNNNNNNNNNNNNNNNNNNNNNNNNNNNNNNNNNNNNNNNNNNNNNNNNNNNNNNNNNNNNNNNNNNNNNNNNNNNNNNNNNNNNNNNNNNNNNNNNNNNNNNNNNNNNNNNNNNNNNNNNNNNNNNNNNNNNNNNNNNNNNNNNNNNNNNNNNNNNNNNNNNNCAGCUUUAAUCUAAAACGAAUUAUCAAGGGGGUCCCCAUAACAACCCUGAUCGUGUUAGGAGCGCUCAAUUAUGGAACAUAACACCGGUAGCCGGAAACUAAGGGGGCAAAGGUGGAACAAAACACCAGACUAGAAAGGCCGAGCCUUCCACCUUUUACCAAGUAUAUAGGUGCAUUAAAUUAAAUAACAUUUAAUAUGGUGAUAUAACAAGGAACCCACGUUAUCACAUGGAAGCAACUGCACCUGCAACUAGCAACGCUAACACAGGGUUAAGCAAGCGAAACAUAGCCAAUCAGUGGUAUGCUAGGUUGAACAGGUUCAAGGUUUCAUGGCAUUGUUGAGAGGCUGAUAUUUAACAUGUGGUAGGCAACGGGACAUAAUCGAUAGAAACGGUAAAACUAGCAUGGCAAUGAUAGUAAUGGUAUCUGGGGAAAUGGUCAUCUUGCCUGAGAUCCCGUUUGGAAGAAGAAUGCCUCCGUGAAGCAGACGAACCGAUGUAGUCGAACGGGUCCUCGCCUCCGACACGCUUGCGGAACUCUAUCGAGACGGGGAAAACCGGAACAAGCAUGAACACACGAUAUUCACCACACGAUGCACAACACAUAUGAUGCAUGGAUAGGCUGAAUACAUGCAAGACAGGGCAUGGCAAUUCACGUCAAACAAACACUACACAUUAAGUGAAGUUCAAUAUGCAGCGAGUUGCACAUUGACGAAACUCCACAUACGAGUUAUUUAGUUCUAUCCCGAUUAGAUACACGGCAAUAUUAAAUGUUGUUAAACAUGGCACGAGGGUGAAGCCCAAAUUAAUCUACCUAGUUAGGCAUUUUAAAUGAGGUCGGAAGCAUCAUAUAGCAUUUCCGAUAUGACCCCGCGCGUUAAAUUCUAACCCUGUCCGGAUUUGUCCUAAUCAUAUUUUAUGUGUGUUAAACAGCGAAACAAAGUGGAUCACGUGAUUCUACUCGUCGUUCUAGUCCAUUUAUAUAUAUGGCACAUCUCCUACGGAGCUAUGGACAAAUAGUUACGACCUAAAACGUUUUCAACACAUCGACACGCAAACCGAUGCAAACACCACACUAAAUAGUUCUAACUAUGCAGGAGAGUUGCAAAAUAUUACUCUAUGCAAAAUUCUAGUCAAAAACCAUAUAUAACUCACUCUGAUCCGAGGCAUGGUUUAGAAACUACGCUCUUUUGAAAAAUCAAUGCAUUUCUUCUGAAAUUAAAUAAAAUCGCGGGAGGGAAGAAAAAUGAACAUAGGCCAAAUUGCAACAUCUUGCAGUGGCCAUAAGAGGAUUCAGCCCAAGAGGUUGUGCACACAGAAGGAAAAAUAAAAUAAAAUACCAACAACAGAAAGAACAGAGGCUUCCCUGGGAUUUGAUCCCAGUACCUCUUUGGUGCAGAGGAAGGCACAAACCAACCGAGCUGCAAAUCAGUUGUGAUAAGGCAUGGGUUUUUAGCCUAUAUGAAAGUGCAUAAGGAACCAACCUGGUGUAAAAGAAAAACAAAGGAAAACAGAUAUAGGGGUGAAUGGGAUUCGAACCCCAGACACCCUGGUGUUGGCGCUGCUAGGUUGACCAGUCAAGCCGGCCAUAACUUGUGCUAUAAGCAUCUGAAAUACCGGAGAAGAAAUAGCAAGAUGUGUACGUCGAUGGGGCAACAAAAAUUAAAUAAGAGCUCGCUGGGAUUUGAUCCCGAGUCUCCUAGCUAGAAGGAGAGAUCGCUAGCCACUUCAGUAACCAUGUGCUCGUGUAGGAAUUCAGAGGCAAUACUACAUAACAUCAGCAUGAUGGAACAGAUCUUGGAAAGAACUGAAAUUCAGUUACGUAGGGACUUGCUCACAUCAGGGGACGGGGAGGCCAUGGCGGUCUGGGUAGGGGUCUCGAGCAUGGAUUGCGGUGGGGAACGACUGGGAAGGCUCGGGCAGCAGCGGCUCUUGCCGAAUCUGGCCGGGGUGGCUCCAUUCCCGACAGAUCUGAUGCGAUCCGGCGGAGCUUGGUCUCCAUGGCUUCCUGUUCGAACGAGACAGAGAGAGAUGAGCGAAGGGGGCGUGGAAGAAAGGGAAGAACGGGUAGAGCAGGGCAACGACGAGGUUACCGGCGGCGCUAGGAGGUGAGGGAUGGGCGUUGGGG